UCAAUUCUGAAUGAAAGCUGGUGGCUUGC
rnacentral:piRNA from 1 species